CUUUUCACACUGGUACAUGAAACAACCGUUGUCUUGUAUAAAACGCAUUUAAAUUAAGCAUGAGGUUUUUUGUGUACAUUGGGUUUUGGGGCAAAUAUACCUGAGUGUGCGAAAAUUGCUUUCAAAUUUGGAAUUCACGGCUACGAAAAUCCAAUUCAAUCCAAAUUAAUCCUAUAUAUACAAUACAAUCAACCGAAUGUUUACUAUAGUCUGUUUAUAAAUGUUGUUCAUUAAUUUGUCAGCGAAUAACUACCUUCACCGAUUUUCUUCUACUUGGUUGAAAAUCUGUAUAUUAUCCCAUGUCUUCAAAUUUCUGUUCUGUGUAUAGUGUUAUAAAAUGAUUGUAAAUUGCGAAAAUUUAGAAAAUAUUUAAAUCGUAUACAGUUGUUCCAAGUAUCACAAGUAACUUGCUCCUCGAUCCUCAUUACUAACUAGAUCUUAACAAUUUGCAAAGAGAAUAGAAUACCAAAUAAAGCAUUUCUUUGUAUUCAUGUCUAAACUUCCAGCUGUAAAUUCCAUACAGGAUUGGAUUGAUAAAGCUAUUGCUCAAUGCCAACAUUACGAAAAUAAAUGAGCAACUCCUCCUAGAUGCUUUCCUCAAACAUUUGUGUAUCGCAGCAUGUAGCUGAUAUCAGUUGGCAACCAUCCGACGAUCAAAGCAAGUGAUGCUGCGAGAGCAAUGAUGGUUAAUCUUCUUUUGAAAUUUUCCUUCGUUCCAUUCACACAAUUUCUUUUACGAAUUUUGCAGAGAAUGUGAACAUAGAGAAUGAGAAUAACCGAAAAGGGUAAAACAGAUGUCAUUGUAAUAUCAACAAAAGCGAAAAAGGCUCUUCCUGUUUCAGGCUCCACCCAGAAGCAAGAUCUUCUAUCAACGUCUGCUUUGAUGGUAAAGAAAACGGUGGCGUUUAUAAAGAAAGCCCAGAACCAGACAAGAAUCACGGCAACUUUUGCAUGUUUCGCUUUUACUCUUUGGUAGAAAUGAGGUUUCAUUAUCGCCAGCCAACGCUCGAUUGUCAACACCAAACAUGUGUAAAUAGACACAUAUCCGCAGCCGAAUGAGAUAAAACCUCCCCAUAAUAGAUAACAGUACGUCAUUGCACUUGUAUAGUUUUCCGGGAUCUGAGGCUGAAAAACAAACCGACCGAAGAGGACAAAAAUUCCAGUGAGUAAAUCGGACACAGCUAAGUUGAUUAUGAAUAUGUCAAAUGCAGUUCUCACGAAUCUAUUUCGUCUUCUGUAAAAAGCCCAGAGGACAAGUGCAUUACCAAGGAUUGUUGCAAUUCCAAUCAAAGCAAUAAUCGCACGUGAUGCCGAGCUUUC